UACGUAGGGGGCAAGCGUUGUCCGGAAUCAUUGGGCGUAAAGCGCGUGUAGGCGGCUCGAUAAGUCUGCUGUGAAAGUCCAAGGCUCAACCUUGGGAUGCCGGUGGAUACUGUCGAGCUCGAGUCCGGAAGAGGAGUGUGGAAUUCCUGGUGUAGCGGUGAAAUGCGCAGAUAUCAGGAGGAACACCAAUGGCAAAGGCAGCACUCUGGGACGUGACUGACGCUGAGACGCGAAAGCGUGGGGAGCAAACAGG
rnacentral:rRNA from 1 species